CCUACGGGGGGCAGCAGUGAGGAAUAUUGGUCAAUGGACGAGAGUCUGAACCAGCCAAGUAGCGUGAAGGAUGACUGCCCUAUGGGUUGUAAACUUCUUUUAUAUGGGAAUAAAAUGUUCCACGUGUGGGAUUUUGUAUGUACCAUAUGAAUAAGGAUCGGCUAACUCCGUGCCAGCAGCCGCGGUGAUACGGAGGAUCCGAGCGUUAUCCGGAUUUAUUGGGUUUAAAGGGAGCGUAGGUGGAUUGUUAAGUCAGUUGUGAAAGUUUGCGGCUCAACCGUAAAAUUGCAGUUGAAACUGGCAGUCUUGAGUACAGUAGAGGUGGGCGGAAUUCGUGGUGUAGCGGUGAAAUGCUUAGAUAUCACGAAGAACUCCGAUUGCGAAGGCAGUUCACUGGACUGCAACUGACACUGAGGCUCGAAAGUGUGGGUAUCAAACAGGAUUAGAUACCCGGGUAGUC
rnacentral:rRNA from 1 species